rnacentral:rRNA from 1 species
CAUGCAAGUCAACUGAACUUGAGGUAGUAAUACUUCAAGGGAGGUGGCGCACGGGUGAGUAACACGUAGGUAAUCUGCCUUUAGGACUGACAUAAUUCCGCGAAAGCGGGACUAAUAUCAGAUAAUGCAGCGGCUCGACAUCGAGACAGUUGUUAAACCUUCGGGGCCUGAAGAUGAGCCUGCGUCUGAUUAGGUAGUUGGCGGGGUAAAAGCCCACCAAGCCAUCGAUCAGUAGCUGGUCUGAGAGGAUGAUCAGCCACACUGGAACUGAGACACGGUCCAGACUCCUACGGGAGGCAGCAGUAAGGAAUAUUGCUCAAUGGCCGAAAGGCUGAAGCAGCAACGCCGCGUGGAGGAUGAAAUACUUUUGUAUGUAAACUCCUGUAAGAAGGGAAAAAUAUUCCGAUUUAUCGGAAUUGAUUGUACCUUCAGAGUAAGCACCGGCUAACUACGUGCCAGCAGCCGCGGUAAUACGUAGGGUGCUAGAGUUGUCCGGAUUUACUGGGUGUAAAGGGUGCUCAGGUGGGUUUGUAAGUCAGAGGUGAAAUCCCAAAGCUUAACUUUGGUGCUGCCUUUGAUACUGCAAGUCUGGAGUUUGAGAGAGGGUAAUGGAAUAUCUGGUGUAGCAGUGAAAUGCGUAGAUAUCAGAUAGAACACCAAUGGCGAAGGCAGUUACCUGGCUCAAUACUGACGCUAAAGCACGAAAGUGUGGGGAGCAAACAGGAUUAGAUACCCUGGUAGUCCGCACCCUAAACGAUGAAUACUAGAUGUUG